CAGCCUGGAUGGGCGCCGCCCGCGCCGUCUGGCCGAGAACCCCCCCCCCCCCCACGCAGCCAAUCCGAUUUCCGCCGCUUCCCUUCUUCCAGAUCCCCCCUCCCCACCACGGGGAUCCCGAGCCUGCGGGGGGAAGGAGGAGGGCGGCGAGACGGGCUCGGAUCCGCGCCCCUCCGGGGGUGAGCGGCAGCCCUUGGGCGAAGAGCCACAGGGGCUGCAAGACUCUGGAGCUGACAGCCAGUGGAGGAGCUCUGGCAGGGUUCCAGCGACAGGUGACAGCAGCGACAAGCGACAAGAGACCCCCUGCAAAGUUCCAGCAACAGGACUCCAAUUGUGCCAAAAAGUGGAAACAUUUAUACAAGCAAUGAAACUGCACAUCAGCAGCACCCAAGAUGACAGUCACCAUGGGAACAUUAUCAUUUCUCAUAAAACGCACUGAUAGCACAGCAGUUCAAGGAAUGGUCACGAGAAGUGCAGGAUUACUAUAUAUGGAGAGAGAGAAGUGUGAGCAAGAUAAAUAUUGAGGUGAAAAAGUAGCUAGUUUAAAUUCAAUCCAGAUAAGAAAGAAAUUAUGCUGAUAUGAGGAAAACAAGGAACUAGCAGGAGCUCUGGUCUUACCUUUAUGGAAGAUGUCUGCCCUGAUUGCCAUGAUGAGAUACAGCCUUGUGCUCCUUCUGGGCUCACUGGAUCUCCAAAACACCCGAAUAGCAGAAAUAUGGCUUUUUCCAGUUUCAGCAAGCUAGGAGCCUGCACUCUUUCCUAUCAGGUGAUCAAUACCAGUGCCACUUUAAGGCUUGCCUACUGCAAUUUGUUCAGCAUUGGACUACUAUGAAGGCUACAUAGAAAAGUCAGCUGGUUCCUUAUGCAGUGAACAGCCAUUUAGAUAAGUCCGACCAACAAGAGCACAUCACAUUGGUGCUUGAUCCUCCCAUCUGGCUCCCUAUGCAAUUCUACAUCCAUUUCAAGGUUUUAGUGCUAAUCUUCAAAUAUUUCAAUGGGCUGGGGCCUAGAUAUCUCAAAGAUUCUGUGCAACCCAGCUUGACAGCUGAGAUCAAUGGGCACACUGUGGCUGAUGGUGUCUUCAGUGAAACUGGAGAUCAGAACAAGCCUGUCAUAGAACACGGUGCCAAACACUUCUACAUAUGCCUUACUGCAAUGAUGACAGCUUUUUUUCCAGGAAAAGAAACAAGAAUGAAUAUUCCCCUUAGAAAAAUGGUGGUGAGAUCACGGAGAGCAGGAGUGUGUUAUCUUUGUGGACGAAAUUUUGCAUAUCUUGUGUAUUUGAUGGCUGCAUGCUAGAUUAUGGUGAUGGUACUUUAGGAAUGACAGGUAGAGAGACAAUUCUUCAGAGGUGCUGAGCACUUGUAAUUUACAUUAACUGCAACAGCAUCUCUGCGGAUUUGGCCUAUAGAGAGGGAGGAGGAGGAUGAAACAGUUACAAAUGACACUGUAAGUGGCAACACUCAACAACAACCUCCACAAGCAUAGGCACACAUAUUUGGAAGGAAAUGUGAAGCAUAAAAGAAGUCAAUAAAAGAGCCAAGCUGAGGCUUUUGAACAGCACACAAGAGAGCAUGGGGGGACAGCAUAACCCAGUGACGAGGGUCACAGCUAAAAGGCAAAGCAAGGACCUCUCUUCAUUCCUUAUAUACAGAUACCUGGAUAUCCAUCCAGCUGUGUGGCCACAUUUGCCCCUUUCUGUUGCCGGGCAGCUGCUUUUGCUAUCGAGUUCUGUGGACACUGCAGUGCAGCAAACAUUUGCUGUUCCUUCCAAACCAAUGUUGAAAAUGCUGGCGUGGACAGGAUCAGCCAAGUUCAACACCCAUCAUAGUAAAGUAUACUAGACCCUGGCUGGAAGAGACUGAUACAAUACUGAGAGAUUAGAAGGAAAAGCUAAUCAGAGUUUUCUUAACCCUAUCUCUUGUUCCCAUACAGUCCAUUGCCUUAAUAAUGAAAGAGUAAUGUUCCCGUCAUCCCAUGUAUACUAGUGUGUUGUUGUGUGGUCAUGAGCA